AAAGAUUUAGGUUAAAAAAACCCCUAGCCUUCAAAGCUUGAAAUAAAAAUUUUACUUUUUUAAUCUUUG
rnacentral:tRNA from 1 species